ACAAGCGGUGGAGUAUGUGGUUUAAUUCGAUGCAACGCGAAGAACCUACCUGGUCUUGACAUCCCGGAGACCCUUAGGAAACUAGGGGGUGGCUUCCAUCUGGAAGAAUCUGGAGACAGGUGCUGCAUGGCUGUCGUCAGCUCGUGUCGUGAGAUGUUGGGUUAAGUCCCGCAACGAGCGCAACCCUUGCCUUUAGUUGCCAGCAGUUCGGCUGGGCACUCUAAAGGGACUGCCGGUGUUAAACCGGAGGAAGGUGGGGAUGACGUCAAGUCCUCAUGGCCUUUAUGACCAGGGCUACACACGUACUACAAUGGCCGAUACAAAGGGCAGCGACACUGCGAGGUGAAGCCAAUCCCGUAAAAUCGGUCUCAGUCCGGAUUGGAGUCUGCAACUCGACUCCAUGAAGUUGGAAUCGCUAGUAAUCGUGGAUCAGCAUGCCACGGUGAAUACGUUCCCGGGCCUU
rnacentral:rRNA from 1 species